rnacentral:tRNA from 1 species
AGGGGUGUAGCUCCAUGGUGCAGUGUUUGCCUGGCAUGUAUGAGGCCCUGGGUUCAAUCCCCAGUGCCCCCC